GCCCAAAUAGCUCAAUUGGUAGAGCAGCUGUUUUGUAAACAGCCGGUUAGCGGUUCGAGUCCGCUUUUGGGCUCCA
rnacentral:tRNA from 1 species